rnacentral:ncRNA from 1 species
UGAAAUACGUUGAAGGAGACAGUAUAAAGGCAAAAUUACUGUUUAGCGAUCUAGGGAUGGUGGAAGCCUAGAGAGUAAUGCUUUUAGAACAUCACUCCAAAGUAUCCAUUAUGAAACAAAGUAAUUUUGGACGUGUUAUUCCACGUUACGGAAAUUGAGUGAAUUUAAAAUAACGUUUAUUUUAAAUUUAUAAGGGUGGUACCGCGAGUCUUCUCGUCCCUUUU